rnacentral:rRNA from 1 species
GACGAACGCUGGCGGCGUGCUUAACACAUGCAAGUCGAACGAUGAAGCCGGAGCUUGCUCUGGUGAAUUAGUGGCGAACGGGUGAGUAACACGUGAGUAACCUGCCCUUGACUCUGGGAUAACUGCUAGAAAUGGUAGCUAAUACCGGAUACGACCCUCGGAGGCAUCUCCAGGGGGUGGAAAGAAUUUCGGUCAAGGAUGGACUCGCGGCCUAUCAGCUAGUUGGUGAGGUAAUGGCUCACCAAGGCGACGACGGGUAGCCGGCCUGAGAGGGGGACCGGCCACACUGGGACUGAGACACGACCCAGACUGCUACGGGAGGCAGCAGUGGGGAAUAUUGCACGAUGGGCGCAAGCCUGAUGCAGCAACGCCGCGUGAGGGAUGACGGCCUUCGGGUUGUAAACCUCUUUUAGUAGGGAAGAAGCGAAAGUGACGGUACCUGCAGAAAAAGCACCGGCUAACUACGUGCCAGCCGCCGCGGUAA